GUGGGGAAUAUUGGACAAUGGGCGCAAGCCUGAUCCAGCCAUGCCGCGUGAGUGAUGAAGGCCUUAGGGUUGUAAAGCUCUUUCACCGGUGAAGAUAAUGACGGUAACCGGAGAAGAAGCCCCGGCUAACUUCGUGCCAGCAGCCGCGGUAAUACGAAGGGGGCUAGCGUUGUUCGGAAUUACUGGGCGUAAAGCGCACGUAGGCGGAUAUUUAAGUCAGGGGUGAAAUCCCAGAGCUCAACUCUGGAACUGCCUUUGAUACUGGGUAUCUCGAGUAUGGAAGAGGUAAGUGGAAUUCCGAGUGUAGAGGUGAAAUUCGUAGAUAUUCGGAGGAACACCAGUGGCGAAGGCGGCUUACUGGUCCAUUACUGACGCUGAGGUGCGAAAGCGUGGGGAGCAAACAGGAUUAGAAACCCCGGUAGUCC
rnacentral:rRNA from 1 species